UACGUAGGGUGCGAGCGUUAAUCGGAUUUACUGGGCGUAAAGCGUGCGCAGGCGGCUUUGCAAGACAGAUGUGAAAUCCCCGGGCUCAACCUGGGAACUGCAUUUGUGACUGCAAGGCUAGAGUACGGCAGAGGGGGAUGGAAUUCCGCGUGUAGCAGUGAAAUGCGUAGAUAUGCGGAGGAACACCAAUGGCGAAGGCAAUCCCCUGGGCCUGUACUGACGCUCAUGCACGAAAGCGUGGGGAGCAAACAGG
rnacentral:rRNA from 1 species